GACGAACCGUGCGAACGUUAUUCGGAAUUACUGGGCUUAAAGCGCGUGUAGGCGGGCCGGCACGUCGAGCGUUGAAAUCCCCGGGCUCAACCCGGGAACUGCGUCCGAUACUGGUGGGCUCGAAUCCGGGAGAGGGAUGCGGAAUUCCAGGUGUAGCGGUGAAAUGCGUAGAUAUCUGGAGGAACACCGGUGGCGAAGGCGGCAUCCUGGACCGGUAUUGACGCUGAGGCGCGAAAGCCAGGGGAGCAAACGGG
rnacentral:rRNA from 1 species